GACGAACGCUGGCGGCGUGCGUAACACAUGCAAGUCGAACGAGAGAGUGAGAGAAGCUUGCUUUUCUUACGAUCGAGUGGCAAACGGGUGAGUAACGCGUAAACAACCUGCCCCGCAGAUGGGGACAACAGCUGGAAACGGCUGCUAAUACCGAAUACGCUCCUCUUAGCGCAUGGUAAGAGGAAGAAAGGGUGGCCUCUGGAACAAGCUACCGCUGUGGGAGGGGUUUGCGUCUGAUUAGCUGGUUGGAGGGGUAACGGCCCACCAAGGCGACGAUCAGUAGCCGGUCUGAGAGGAUGAACGGCCACAUUGGAACUGAGACACGGUCCAGACUCCUACGGGAGGCAGCAGUGGGGAAUCUUCCGCAAUGGGCGAAAGCCUGACGGAGCAACGCCGCGUGAGUGAAGACGGCCUUCGGGUUGUAAAGCUCUGUUAUAGGGGACGAACGGCCGGGUAGCGAAGAGGUACCCG
rnacentral:rRNA from 1 species